rnacentral:rRNA from 1 species
GAUGAACGCUGGCGGCGUGCUUAACACAUGCAAGUCGAACGGAAAGGCCCAAGCUUGCUUGGGUGCUCGAUUGGCGAAGGGGUGAGUAACACGUGGGUGAUCUGCCCUGCACUUUGGGAUAAGCCUGGGAAAAUGGGUCUAAUACCGGGGAGGACAAUCGGUUAGUGUCGGUGGUGGAAAGGUUGUCGGUGUGGGAUGAGCUCGCGGCCUAUCAGCUUAUUGAUGCGGUAAUGGCUUACGAAGGGGUCGGCGGGUAGCCGGCCUGAGAGGGUGUAAGGCCUCACUGGGACUUAGAGAAGGCCGCGAUUCCGAAGCGAGGAAGAAGUGGGGAAUAUUGACCGAUGGGCGCAAGGCGGAUGAAGAGAGGCUUCGGGGCGGAAAACGCUCUUCGGGUUGAAAACUAUUUUCGCCAAGGACGAAGCGUUUUGUGACGGUACUUGGAGAAGAAGCAACGGCUAACUACGUG